rnacentral:rRNA from 1 species
AUUGAACGCUGGCGGCAGGCUUAACCCAUGCAAGUCGAGCGAUUGACGGACGGGUGAGUAAUGCAUGGGAAUAUAGCUUUUGGAGGGGGAUAACUACGGGAAACUGUAGCUACUACAGCGUACCCUAGGAUUAGCCCAAGUGGGCUUAGGUAGUUGGUAAGGUAACGGAUAACCAAGCCGACGAUCUCUAGCUGGUCUGAGGAGAUGACCAGCCACACUGGAACUGAGACACGGUCCAGACUCCUACGGGAGGCAGCAGGGGGGAAUAUUGCGCAAUGGGGGAAACCUGAUGCAGCCAUGCCGCGUGUAUGAAGAAGGCAUUCGGGUUGUAAAGUUCUUUCGGUAGCGAGGCGUUAACAACAGAAGAAGCACCGGCUAACUCCGUGCCAGCAGCCGCGGUAAUAC